UCCUCGUUCAAAGGAUCGCAGUCGAAGCACACAAACGGAGCAGACCUUGUGUCUCUCAGCUCUUCAUGGGCUAAUUAAAGCUUUGGGAGAAAGUCCCCGGACGACCUUUUUACCUCGUGUAACAAAGGAACGCGGAAACGCGCCGCCAUAGAAGCACUGCGGCUUCUUUAAAUUUCUCCUUUCCUUCCUAUACCCAGGCCGACCUUUGUCCGCUGCUUGUACUCGCUUUCUGGACGUUUGAUUGCUGCUUCUGGGUGAGGGGGAGACCAUAUGGAUGAAGAUAUGAGUCCGAGCUCCUCUGAUCUCAGUUGCGGCAGAGCACUUGAAAGGACUGCGGGGAGGCGGGGAAGUACACUCGGUCUGGGUUGGGGCUCAUGGGAGGGGGGAGGCUUUCGUCGAGAGUGAUAGUUAUGCGAUUGCCCUUCUGGUCAGCCUCACGGUUGAUCUGGGGGGUAACUCGAUGGGGCUUAUUCUUGAGACGAGG
rnacentral:RNase_MRP_RNA from 2 species